rnacentral:rRNA from 1 species
GACGAACGCUGGCGGCGUGCUUAAUACAUGCAAGUCAACUUGACUUUAGAUAGCAAUAUCGAAAGUAGGGUGGCGCACGGGUGCGUAACGCGUAGGUAAUCUGCCCUGAGGUCUGACAUAACCCGUCGAAAGGCGGGCUAACAUCAGAUGAUAUAUAAUCACGACAUCGUGGAAAUAUCAAAUCUUCGGAGCCUUGGGAUGAGCCCUGCGUCUGAUUUAGGUAGUUGGCGGAGUAAUAGCCCACCAAGCCUACGAUCAGUAGCUGGUCUGAGAGGAUGAUCAGCCACACUGGAACUGAGACACGGUCCAGACUCCUACGGGAGCAGCAGUAAGGAAUAUUGCUCAAUGGGGGAAACCCUGAAGCAGCAACGCCGCGUGAAGGAUGAAAUACUUUUGUAUGUAAACUUCUGUAAGAUGGGAAAAAUAUUCUCCUCGGGAGAAUUGAUUGUACCAUCAGAGUAAGCCCCGGCUAACUACGU